rnacentral:lncRNA from 1 species
CAUGCAACAGACUCGAGAUGGUGCAGCCAUUGGGGUCCUUCCAGAAACACUGGCAGCUGCUGGAGUUGCUGGAUUAUAACGAAUGCAAAUCUCAAGUCAGAUGGCUGAAUAAACUCAGGGAUGGCGCAUGCAGAAAACCGUGAGUGUGAGUUCCUCUGAGAGCUCAGUCACACUGCAGCCCUGUCGGCUGGAGGUGCUGAAGAGCACCCUGGGCGCAGGUUCACUCAGACCUACUCUGCAGCAUGCUGGGGUCAGGGCUUGCUGGUCUUACCCCUGUCGUCGGGAGACCCGCUGCUCUGCCAUGGCGUCUGCCCCCCACAGCAAGAAAGACCCACACCUCAAGCCUGGCUCUGGAGGAAGCAGGAGACAGGGCUUCUGGGUUACAAGCUUCCAAGAAAGGGUGGGAGAGGUCACUGAGACUUAGGCACCUCAUGUACCCUCAGGGUGACCCUUGUUCAGCACCCAUCAGGCAGCAAGCCUGACCUUGCCGUGGAGCCCACUGCUCACACUCAGCACUUUAACCACGAGGGCUCUGGUGAGGGUCCCAGCUGGCAGUCUCUGGAGGACAGCCCUCUUGACAGAAUGCCGGAGACCAUCCCUGGAGUGGGGGUUACCAAGGCAACGGUCUGGUCUGGGAGCACCUCAGGCUGAGUGACGCGUGCAGACUGCCAGGCUAGCUAGGCCCAGGUAUUUCAAGGUGAGCUUCAGAUGUGGCUAGCUCUUCUGAGACUCCCAGGCAUCGUGAACGCCGUGGAGCGCUCCAGGCCAGUAUUUGUUAGGUGUUAAGUGUUUUGUUUCACUGUGGAGCGGUGGCUGCAGAAGCUCUGGCUGUGCUCGCCAGGUCCAGGGACUGAGGCUCCCUUGCCUGACAGGCACUGCCCUUAACCAGGGCAUUCUGCUCACCUAGAUGGCUGCAAGUGUGAGACGGGCAAGACCUGCCUUGGGAUUUCUACUGGGAAAAUACGUAGACUGUGACCCUUUAGAAAGUUGAGGUGGGCGUGCAUUUCAUUUUAAAUAAACAUCUAUGAUCCACACCGAUGUGAUGAAAUGCCGAAUGUUUGGCGAUUCUAAUCGGCAAGAGGGCCAGGAACACUUUGUGGAUAGAAUGGAAACCUGUUUGGAGCUCCACGGAAGACAACAGGACUGCGACAGUUCCUUUGUGGAGACAUCAGACAUCAGGUGUAGGUGCAGGCUGCACACAGAACAGCACAGCAGGAAAUGCGUCUCUGGCCUAAUAAAAAUGCUGCUUUGUGCUCACAAUGAUUUUUCCUAAGCGGUGAGUAAACCAAAGGGUAUCACCAUGGUCAAAGAACUGCCAUGGCAUAUGUCAUUCCACAGGCCAACUCUGAUUCUCAACAAGGAUUUUUUAAUGUCAUUUGUGAAGAUAUCUUAACCACUUUAAGAUUCACUUUUUCAUCUAUGAAACUAUGAUUUUUGUCCUUGAAUGAAAAUUACAUUUGUAAAUCGUGAUGAUGGAAGAAUCUGUAUGAGGCUUUAAGUUCUUCCUUGGGCUGCAGAUUGUAGUGACAUGUUGAACGUGGUCACCAACUAGUAUGUGUUCUUUUUCUUUUUUAAAUAACUCUAUUUAUUUAUUCGCUUUUUUAUGUGGUGCUGAGGAUGGAGCCCGGGGCCUCCCCCGUGCUUGGCCAGUGCACUGCCUCGAGCUCCAGCCCUAGCCCCCUUUUUCUUUUAAAGUAAACAUUUCUGCCCUGAAAUUUCACCGUUUUCCAUUCUGAGAACCUGAAGUCAUUUGUUCUUUGCUCUUUAAAGACCCUAAUUCCAAAAGCUAUCCCACAUUUCAAAAAGGCUUAAAGCUAUUAUGUGGUCCCUGGAGCUUAGGCAAGAAAUAGGUUUGGGAUCACUGACAGAUGGAGGAGAGUGAGCCAAGCCAUGCUGGGGAGCAAGUGCGGCCAGGGAGCCGGGGGCAGAGAGCAGAGGCCAGGCGCUGGCCCUGGAGACAGGGGCGGAGUCCACAGCAGGGAGAAGGGGCUGACCUGAGAGGAAGCACGGCUGACCAGGAUGCCCAGGGAGGGCGGAGUGGCCGAGUGGCCGGCACCCUUCUGGUUGGGUUGUCGAAGGGGAAAGGCAGCUGUCCCCUGUAGUGUGAGGAAUCAGCAGAUGCACCACAAAUCGUAUCUGCACUGGAGCCAUCCACGAGUCGUAGAAGGUGUGUCUGAAGGCACUGCCCAACGCAGGUCUCCCC